rnacentral:rRNA from 1 species
UACGGAGGGUGCAAGCGUUAUCCGGAUUUACUGGGUUUAAAGGGCGCGUAGGCGGUCAGGUAAGUCAGUGGUGAAAUCUCCGGGCUUAACCCGGAAACUGCCAUUGAUACUAUUUGUCUUGAAUACUGUGGAGGUCAGCGGAAUAUGUCAUGUAGCGGUGAAAUGCUUAGAUAUGACAUAGAACACCAAUUGCGAAGGCAGCUGGCUACACAAAUAUUGACACUGAGGCACGAAAGCGUGGGGAUCAAACAGG